rnacentral:rRNA from 1 species
GCUCAGGAUGAACGCUAGCUACAGGCUUAACACAUGCAAGUCGAGGGGCAGCGGGGAGGAAGCUUGCUUUCUCCGCCGGCGACCGGCGCACGGGUGAGUAACGCGUAUCGAACCUGCCUCAUACUCGGGAAUAGCCUUGCGAAAGUAAGAUUAAUGCCCGAUGUUUUCAGCGGUCCGCAUGAACUGCUGAACAAAGAUUUAUCGGUAUGAGAUGGCGAUGCGUCCCAUUAGCUUGUUGGCGGGGUAAUAGCCCACCAAGGCAUCGAUGGGUAGGGGUUCUGAGAGGAAGGUCCCCCACAUUGGAACUGAGACACGGUCCAAACUCCUACGGGAGGCAGCAGUGAGGAAUAUUGGUCAAUGGACGCAAGUCUGAACCAGCCAAGUA